AACGAACGCUGGCGGCAGGCCUAACACAUGCAAGUCGAGCGAAGUCUUCGGACUUAGCGGCGGACGGGUGAGUAACGCGUGGGAACGUGCCCUGGGGUGCGGAACAACCGCUGGAAACGGCGGCUAAUACCGCAUGAUCCUCUUCGGAGGCAAAGAUUUAUCGCCCUGGGAUCGGCCCGCGUCGGAUUAGGUAGUUGGUGGGGUAAUGGCCUACCAAGCCGAUGAUCCGUAGCUGGUUUGAGAGGAUGAUCAGCCACACUGGGACUGAGACACGGCCCAGACUCCUACGGGAGGCAGCAGUGGGGAAUCUUGGACAAUGGGGGCAACCCUGAUCCAGCCAUGCCGCGUGAGCGAUGAAGGCCUUAGGGUUGUAAAGCUCUUUCACCGGUGAAGAUAAUGACGGUAGCCGGAGAAGAAGCCCCGGCUAACUCCGUGCCAGCCGCCGCGGUAACAC
rnacentral:rRNA from 1 species